rnacentral:rRNA from 1 species
UACGAAGGGGGCUAGCGUUGCUCGGAAUCACUGGGCGUAAAGCGCACGUAGGCGGUUUGCUAAGUCAAGGGUGAAAUCCUGGAGCUCAACUCCAGAACUGCCUUUGAUACUGGCGAUCUCGAGUCCGGGAGAGGUGAGUGGAACUGCGAGUGUAGAGGUGAAAUUCGUAGAUAUUCGCAAGAACACCAGUGGCGAAGGCGGCUCACUGGCCCGGUACUGACGCUGAGGUGCGAAAGCGUGGGGAGCAAACAGG